CCGGAUCUUCCCAUGGGUCCUUUGGAGGCCUGGGUUUUGGAGUUUGUCCUUCGUUAAGUGCCGCCCGCCGGGCGCGGCUGCUCCAGGACCACAGAUUUCGCUGGGGAUGCUACUUGAUCUCUCUUCAGCCUCAGUUUCCUCACCUGGACAGUGGAGCUGAACCCACCCCCCACUAUCUGACCCUGCUCUCUGGGCUGUCUUUUGGGAACCCGCCCUGCUGAGGCCUGCUCCCCACCCUCCAUGGCUGUCAGCCCCCCAGGAGAAGAAUGUCUGCCAUAUGGAGGCUGCUGGCAGCAAAGGGAGAUGAACAAGCCAAGGUUGCCCGGCCUGCAUGCCGGCCCAGGGCUGCUGCUGUGUCUUGCCAUCAACCCUCCCCUGACACCCAGGAUGCCUGCCUCACCCAGAAGCACUCCUACGUCAGGCCUCUGAGGGGGAGCGCUUCAUGCCACUGUUAUCAAAAGAAGAAACCAUCGAAGCAGAAAGGCCAAUGCCACACUAGACAGCCAGGAGCCCAGCAGAACAAGUGGCCCCCUAAGGCACUUUGGGGACCACACCCCGCCACUGACCCCAGCACAGUCUGGUUCCCAGGGCUUCAGGAUCCUCCUGGGGACCUCUCAGCAUGAUUGACACAGGCAGACGGGACCUGAAGGGGCUGCUGGUCCUUCUGAAAAUGUUCACCAGGUAGUGUGAGUGUGGGGAAGCCAUGAACAAUGUGUGGGACUCUACCCUGCACCUGCUCAGAGCCUCAGCCCUUCAGAGCCACUACUAAUGAUUUGCUGUGGGUGGGGUCACCCUGAUACUUCUCUGAGGUGGCUUUUUCUUGCAGUUUUUCUGAGUAACUGACAGGAAUCCUUGACUGCAUGCCGCCUAAACUAGGGUGUGCACAGCCCUCGUUCUGUGCAAAGAGGGUGCAAAGCAGCAGAGUGUCUGUGACCCAUUUGCCACCUAAUGUUACUACAAGAUUUGCAAGAACCGGUCACUUAUCAGUAACCAUUUUUAUUUAAAAAGAUAAAAUAGAGCUUUGCAGGAAAGUGCUGCAGGCUCCCACGUUGCCGGGCAGACGACAACCUGGGCGCCUCGCCCAGCUCCUCCCCACAGCCAUUGGCAUCCACUGUCAGGUUUCAAUGUUCUUGGACCUCAGGGCCUUCGUCCUCUCCAAUCUAAAUGCAGAGAGACAUUUGACAUGGACUCUCUCAGGUGUUUUGCAAAAUGCAACACAUUCUCAUUGACUCUGGUCACUCUGCUGUGCACUACAUGUCAAAACCUCUUCCUCCUCCCUGAGACUUUGGUCCUUUAACUGACAACCCCCCUCCCAUUCCCUCCCUCUGCCACUCUCUGACCCCUGGUCACCAUCGAUCUACUUGCUACUUCUAUGGGGUCAACUUGUUUAGAUCAACACUUCUGGGACCUCACGUGGAAUUGGUCUCUCUGAGGUAGUGGAGAUGCUAAGUAGUGGGAUUUCCUCAUUCCACAUUGUACCCCAUGAAUGAAUACAAGCAUGAUUUGCCAAUUGAAGCAAUACAAUAAAGACAGAAGAAAUGUAAA
rnacentral:lncRNA from 10 species